GGAAUAUUGCACAAUGGGCGCAAGCCUGAUGCAGCCAUGCCGCGUGUGUGAAGAAGGCCUUCGGGUUGUAAAGCACUUUCAGCGAGGAGGAAGGGUUCAGUGUUAAUAGCACUGUGCAUUGACGUUACUCGCAGAAGAAGCACCGGCUAACUCCGUGCCAGCAGCCGCGGUAAUACGGAGGGUGCAAGCGUUAAUCGGAAUUACUGGGCGUAAAGCGCACGCAGGCGGUUUGUUAAGUCAGAUGUGAAAUCCCCGCGCUUAACGUGGGAACUGCAUUUGAAACUGGCAAGCUAGAGUCUUGUAGAGGGGGGUGAGAAUUCCAGGUGUAGCGGUGAAAUGCGUAGAGAUCUGGAGGAAUACCGGUGGCGAAGGCGGCCCCCUGGACAAAGACUGACGCUCAGGUGCGAAAGCGUGGGGAGCAAAACAGGAUUAGAUACCCUGGUAGUCCACGCUGUAAACGAUGUCGACUUGGAGGUUGUGCCCUUGAGGCGUGGCUUCCGGAGCUAACGCGUUAAGUCGACCGCCUGGGGGAGUACGGCCGCAAGGUUAAAAC
rnacentral:rRNA from 1 species